GUUUUGGUAGUGUAGGGAGGAAGAUGAUGACCUGGAAGAAAGUGAAGACAGUAAACAAUGUAAAGAAAGCUUGAAAAGAGUGACCUUCACUUUGCUGGAUGAUGAGGCAACUGAAGAUGCAGGUGUUUUAAAUGUAAAGAAAAAUUCUGAUGAAGUUAAAUCCUCUUGAAAAAAGACAGGAAAAGGUAAUUAGGAAUUUAAGGAAUUUUUAAUGUGCUUGACAUAACUGUGGAACUCACAGACUACUAACAAAUCUUCCCUAUCUUUCUUUUUUUUUUGAGAAGGAGUCUUACUCUGUCACCCAGGCUGGAGUGCAAUGGUGUGAUCUCAGCUCACUGCAGCCUCCACCUCCUGGGUUCAAAUGAUUCUGCCUCAGCCUCCUGAGUAGCUGAGAUUAGAGGUGCAUGGCACCAUGCCUGACUAAUUUUUGUACUUUUAGAAGACAUGGGGUUUCACCGUGUUGGCCAGGCUGGUCUCGAACUCCUGACCUCAGGUGAUCCUCCUACCUCAGCCUCCCAAAGUGCUGCGAUUACGGGCGUGAGCCACCGCGCCCGGCGAUUUUACAGGUAUCAUUACCUAGAAUGAGGUGAAAGGACACGGUUAGGAUUUUUUUUUAAGUGUAAGGUAAGUUAAAAUAGUAAGAAACAGUAGUAGCGUAAUACCUGGCCAUGGCUGGAAGGUGGGUGCUGAUGAUGGGCAUUGGAACAGACCUGGAUACAUCUCUGGCAUCAGGGUCAGGAGGCAGUGAGCCUGUCGCUUCCUAGUUCUGGUGUUUUUUUUUUUUUUCCAUGUCUUAAUAAACAAACAAACAAAAAGCCCUCUUAGCCAUUUAGAAUAAGCAUUUGGGGCCAAGGGGAGCAGAGAGAAGUAUGAAGUUUACUUUUUCUCUUCAGUAGAAUAAAAAUUGCUGUCCAUUUUUUCAAUGUGAUUUGUCAGAAUAAAUCUUUAACGUAUUACAUGUAAAUAAAAGAAAAAAAAGUCCCUACAAUCCAAAUGGAUAUUUGGAUAAUUUUACGAAGUCUAUAUUAACACUUUAGUUCUAUCAGCCCACAAUAAAGUCCCAUAUCCAUGAAGCAGUUGCUACCCUUUACUCACUAGCCCCAGCCCCAACAAUCCCCAGUCUGUGUCCUAUCUUUGUGGAUUUGCCUAUUUUGCAUAUUUGAUAUAAAUGGAGCCUUACAAUACGCAGCCUUUCAUUUCUGACUUCUUGCAUUUAGCAUCAUGUUUUCAAGACUGUAGCAUUUGCUUGUGCUUCAUUUCUUUCUUAUGGUUGUAUGGUAUUCCAUUGCGGGAAUGUACCAUGCUUUAUCUGUUCAUCCAUUGAUGGCCAUUCAGGCUGUUUCCACCUUUUGACUGUUAAUCGUGCUGUGCACAUGUAUUUGUUUGAGUACCUGCUUUUAAUUCUCUUGGUUUUACACCUCGGAGUGGUUGCUGGGUCAGAUGGUAAUUCUCUGUGUAGCUUUUUUUUUUUUUGAGA
rnacentral:lncRNA from 1 species